rnacentral:rRNA from 1 species
AGCGCAGGCAGACUUGUGUGUCGGACGUGAAAUACCGGGGCUUAACCCCGGUGCUGCGUCCGAAACUACGAGUCUAGAGACUUGGAGGGGUAAGCGGAAUUCUUGGUGGAGCAGUGAAAUGCGUAGAUAUCAAGAGGAACACCAACGGCGAAGGCAGCUUACUGGACAAGAUCUGACGCUCAGGCUCGAAAGCGUGGGGAGCAAAAG